rnacentral:misc_RNA from 1 species
GAUGAAGAACGCAGCGAAAUGCGAUACGUAAUGUGAAUUGCAAAUUCAGUGAAUCAUCGAGUCUUUGAACGCACAUUGCGCCCCCUGGUAUUCCGGGGGGCAUGCCUGUCCGAGCGUCAUUGCUGCCCUCAAGCACGGCUUGUGUGUUGGGCCCCGUCCUCCGAUCCCGGGGGACGGGCCCGAAAGGCAGCGGCGGCACCGCGUCCGGUCCUCGAGCGUAUGGGGCUUUGUCACCCGCUCUGUAGGCCCGGCCGGCGCUUGCCGAUCAACCCCAAUUUUUUAUCCAGGUUGACCUCGGAUCAGGUAGGGAUACCCGCUGAACUUAAGCAUAUCAAUAAGCGGAGGA